AGCCUGGAGUCUUCCUCAUCAACAGUGUGUGUGUUUAUAAAACCCACACCCAUCUCCUGGGCAAAAUGGCUCUCUCAAGCCUGAGCUGGUGGCACUGGCCUUGUGACUGGUGGAGGCUGAAGGCUGUCCCAGGGCCCCCCGGGGAUGUGAGGUUGGAUAAUGACAUCUCAUUGGGGAUUGGGGGAGAGGUGGGAGGUGCCACAGACCCUGGCAUCUUCAAACCUCCCAUCAGUGCAAAUCAAUGCAAAAUUAAAAUUCAUGAUGGUUCCGGGGCACAACUGCAAACAAUUUGUUCAGUAAACUUGGCUCUAAUUGGCAUUGGUAGAAUUUCCUGUUAAUCAGGCCCCUUGGGCUCUGUGGGUCUGGGAUGCUCUGUCUCCCCGUGACAGGACAGGCAGCAUGGAAGUGGGGCUGAGAGGAAGGGAGCAGGGAGGAUGUUCAGAUGUGGGCAGCUGCAGCCACGUGCCUGGGUGUGUGUUGCUGUGUAGACCCAAGGGCCAGGUUGGAGUGUCGUCUACAGGUACUUUUUUUUUUCUGGGGGGUGCGAUGGGGGGCUUCUGUGCCAUACUGUGUAGCUUCCCAUAGAGAUGGGAGUUGGGUGUGCCUGAGUCUACCUGGAGCUACUUAGGCAGUAAUAUGUGUGUCAAGGGUGUGCAAAAGUAGCAUAGUAAUACAUAUCAGCUGGGGCACGUGUGCAGGGGACAUGUGUAUGCAUCUGUCAGAGUACAUAUGUAAGGACUUGCAUGUUAUGUCCGUUGUCUAGGCAUGGUCUGUGGAGUGUUUGUGGAUCAGCAGAAUGGAGUCAGAAUUUCAACAUGGAGUCUCCUGGGCCCACAACCUUCUGCUUUCUCGUUGACUCUGAAGAUGG
rnacentral:lncRNA from 1 species